rnacentral:tRNA from 1 species
GGGGGUAUAGCUCAGUUGGUAGAGCGCCUGCUCUGCAAGCAGGAUGUCAGCGGUUCGAGUCCGCUUACCUCCA